GACGAACGCUGGCGGCGUGCUUAACACAUGCAAGUCGAGCGGUAAGGCCUCUUCGGGGGUACACGAGCGGCGAACGGGUGAGUAACACGUGGGUGACCUGCCCCGCACUCUGGGAUAAGCCUGGGAAACUGGGUCUAAUACCGGAUAUGACCUUUCACUGCAUGGUGGGGGGUGGAAAGUUUUUUCGGUGUGGGAUGGGCCCGCGGCCUAUCAGCUUGUUGGUGGGGUGAUGGCCUACCAAGGCGACGACGGGUAGCCGGCCUGAGAGGGCGACCGGUCACACUGGGACUGGGAUACGGCCCAGACUCCUACGGGAGGCAGCAGUGGGGAAUAUUGCGCAAUGGGCGGAAGCCUGACGCAGCGACGCCGCGUGGGGGAUGACGGCCUUCGGGUUGUAAACCUCUUUCGCCAGGGACGAAGCGAGAGUGACGGUACCUGGAUAAGAAGCACCGGCCAACUACGUGCCAGCAGCCGCCGUAAGAC
rnacentral:rRNA from 1 species